GCUGAAGCUGCCUGAAGCCCCCGGAGUGCAGCGGGAACUUCCGCUGCACUCCGGGGGCUUCAGGCGGCUAUCUGC
rnacentral:miRNA from 1 species